ensembl:snRNA U4 U4 spliceosomal RNA
AGCUUUGCACAGUAACAGUAUCGUAACCAAUAAGGUUUAUCCAAGGUGUGAUUAUUGCUAAUUGAAAAUACCAGCUAAAGG